rnacentral:rRNA from 1 species
CAAGGACCAAGUGAAAAGGGGAGUAGAUUGUUUGUCACGAAUUGGAAAAGGAAGAUUGUUUCUAUCCUGCUUCUCACACGGAGAACGGGCGCGGGCGGGCGGAGGAGUCCGGAGCACGCCGUAACUUUUGCGGUUCGGCCGCAUCUGAGCCUCCGCCGAGACCCACGAGCUGUCCCUGGCCUCGCCUCGCCUGGCCAACGAAAUUACCGCCGCCGCCGUCUCGUCUGAACUCUGAACCGGCAAGACGCCAAACCCGGCGCCCCCUCCCCCUCGGCCACCCACCCCCACCCCCACCCCCACCCCACCCAGCUGGCCCCUCUCCCAAACCCCAGAAUCCCCCGCCCGCCCGCGCCAACCCAACCCAAUCCCGCGCCCGGCCUCCCGCACAUGCGCGGCAGCAGGCCGGCGACGGCGACGACGACGACGACGCGGCGCCACCGGGGGCGCCGCGCGGGCCGUCCAUGAGCAGGAAGGGCGACCGCGCCGACAAGAAGCCGCGCCCGAGAUCACCGCGCGGCGGCGGGGGCGACAGGGAGGGCGGCGGCCGGCAGCAGCGGAGGGCGGACGGGGGGAUGCGCAUCGUGGUGCCGCUGCAGGGGGUGGUGCAGGGCCGCGGCGGGCUCGUCCUCGGCUCCCUCAUCCCCUGCGCCCUCUUCUACUUCCUCCAGCUCUACAUCAAGCGCAACCGCCCGCCGCCGGGCUCCCCCACCGCGGCCUCCUCCGCGGCGCCGGCGGGCGCCGCGGCCGCGGGCCCGCUCUCGCCGAUCCACCGCUCCCUCUCGCGGGGCCUGCUCUCCCCGCGCGCGCUCCCGGCCCUCUCCGCCCGCGGCGCCCUCGUCCGCGCCGGCGACGACGACUCCCUCUACUACGCCGGCCUCCGCCGCUGCGCCGACGACCCCUACCACCCCGCCUCCAACCCCGCCGGCGUCAUCCAGCUCGGCCUCGCCGAGAACCACCUGUCCCUGGAUUUGGUGAGGGAAUGGAUGGAGGAGCACGCGGGGCCGGCGAUGACGCCCGGCGGAGGCGACGAGGAGAGGGACCUCACCAUCAGCGGCCUCGCCACGUACCAGCCAUAUGACGGGAUACUUGCCUUGAAGAUGGCUCUUGCUGGAUUUAUGAGGCAAAUAAUGCAAGAGUCAGUAUCCUUUGAUCCAUCUCAAAUGGUGAUAACAUCUGGUGCGACGCCUGCAAUGGAAAUACUGAGCUUCUGUCUUGCUGAUCCAGGAAAUGCAUUUCUUGUUCCGUCACCAUACUACCCUGGAUGGGACCGGGACAUAAAAUGGCGAACUGGUAUUGAGUUGAUACCCGUUCCUUGCCGUAGCACCGACAACUUUAACAUCAGUAUCACUGCUCUAGAAAUAGCCUAUAACCAGGCAAAGAAGCGAGGAGUAAGGGUUCGUGGGGUUCUCAUAUCUAAUCCUUCCAACCCUACAGGAAGCUUUGUACCCAAGCAAACACUGCGUGAUCUUCUGGACUUUGCUACAGAGAAGAACAUACACUUAAUUUCUGAUGAAGUGUUUGCCGGUUCAACAUUUGGAAGUGGUGAAUUUGUCAGUGUGGCUGAGGUUGUGAACGAGCUAGAAGACUUUGACAGAGGCAGGGUUCACAUAAUCUAUGGACUCUCAAAAGACCUAUCUCUUGCAGGGUUUCGAGUUGGAGUCAUAUAUUCGUAUAACGAAAGCAUUGUGGAGGCAGCUGCCAAGAUUGCCAGAUUCUCAUCUGUGUCGACCCCGACCCAGCGCCUUCUUGUUGCCAUGCUUUCGGACCAGAAGUUUAUUUCAAAUUACCUGAAAGUUAACAGAGAGAGGCUGCGCAAGGCGUACAAUCUGCUCGUUGAUGCUUUGAAACAGGUGGGCAUCGAGUGCUUCAAGAGCAGCGGAGGGUUCUACUGCUGGGCAGACAUGAGCAAGUUCAUCCGGUCUUACAGCGAGAAAGGGGAACGCAGUCUUUGGGACAGGCUGUUGGAGGAGGCGAAGGUCAAUGUCACCCCAGGUUCAUCUUGCCAUUGCAUUGAGCCUGGUUGGUUUAGGUGCUGUUUCACAACGUUGAGGGAGCAGGAUAUUCCUGUGGUGGUGGAAAGGCUUAGGAGGAUCACAGAUGGCCACAAAUCAAACUGCUGAAACGCCUAGAGAACUCCUUUUGGGCCUGUAGGGUGUCAAGAAAUAACUGCUUCGCCAGUUGCUUCACAGAAAACGCAGGAGCACACAGGAAAAAAAUGCCUUAACCAGAUCUGUUCCAAUCAGAGUGAUUCCGUCUUGGCAUCUACCAUUGGUGGAGGUUUGAAACUGACAAUUGGUGGAAACAGUCAUGUCUUCGGUGGUGGAACAAAGAGCAGGGAUCAUGUUCGCAUCCGUCGUGUCCUCCCUGUUCCUGUUGAAUCCAAGCGCGGCAGCUCUUCGGAAGGUUGUAAUUGUGUCGAUUCUCAUCUGCUUCCCCAUAGGUGUCACAGGCGGUAAAUUGUCCGUCUCAUGGUAGGCGUGGGUCAAGUCUUGUGUUCAUUCGCCUAUUCAAUCCUGUCAUCCUUUUUUUUUUCUUUUGGCAAUUUUGUUCUUUGGUAACAUAAGUUAGUGUCGAGGAAUUCAGUUUCUUCUGUUCUUGUCAUCUGUAAAGUAUCCAGUUUGUGAAUUCAGGUUCUUUCUCCUCUAGCAAUUUUGCUCUUUGGUAACAUAAGUUAGUGUUGAGGAAUUCAGGUUCUUGUCAUCUGUAAAGUAUCCAGUUUGUGACGGCGUUCUUGACGCACGGC